UUGAAACAUCUAGCAAGCACAUCCAGCAGAAUAUCCUACCACGUGUGAAAGUUUUCGAUCACGAGUCAGUUAGGAAGGCAAUAGACUCAAUUACAUCCCAUCAGGGUCAAGAAGUUUUUUUUGCUGGCUCCGAAUUUGGUUUGAAGGAGUAUGUACCUUGUCACCACAAUGUUUCUAAGACAAAUGUACCACCUACCAAAGGUACCACACAGGAGAUUGCUGACCCUUCAUCAUCAAAGCACCCUGCUCGUGCUGCAAACAACUUUAAGCCACGCAGCAUGAUGGGACCUGUUGAGUUUGCAAACAUAAUGCGCCGGAAAUACCCAAAUAUGGCAGAUGAAUUUAUUGGAAUUAUAUUAAAAGAGCACAACACCAGGCUUAGGGCUAACAUGAGUGAGAUACGGUACACAACACAAGUGGACAUGCUGAAACUUUUAGACGAGUUAGCUGCAUGUUUGGCAAGCAAAUGUAUAUGUUGUCAGCUAGCCGGUCUAAAUACAUGCCGAUUGAUAGAUAACCAACCAGCAGGCCCAAACCAAAACAAUUGUCGGGAACUUGCACAGAUGCCGCCUGCCGAAACUUCCGACACCGAAG